rnacentral:rRNA from 1 species
GCCUACAAGCGGUCGGAGCAGCGUAAUGCUGUGACGGCGUGCCUUUUGCAUAAUGAGCCUACGAGUUAAUUUUACUAGCGAGGUUAAGGUAUUAAGUACCGGAGCCGGAGCGAAAGCGAGUCUGAAUAGGGCGCAUAGUUAGUAGGAUUAGACGCGAAACCUUGUGAUCUACCCAUGGGCAGGUUGAAGCUCUGGUAACACAGAGUGGAGGACCGAACCGGUUGACGUUGAAAAGUCUUCGGAUGACCUGUGGGUAGGGGUGAAAGGCCAAUCAAACUGGGAGAUAGCUCGUACUCUCCGAAAUGCAUUUAGGUGCAGCGUCGUAUAUAAGUUUAUUAGAGGUAGAGCUACUGAUUGGAUGCGGGGGUUUCACCGCCUACCAAUUCCUGACAAACUCCGAAUGCUAAUAAAUGUUCUACGGCAGUGAGGGCAUGGGUGCUAAGGUCCAUGUCCGAGAGGGAAAGAACCCAGACCAACAGCUAAGGUCCCCAAAUAUAUGUUAAGUUGAAGCAACGCGGUUGGACUGCAUUGACAGCUAGGAUGUUGGCUUGGAAGCAGCCAUUCAUUUAAAGAGUGCGUAACAGCUCACUAGUCGAGCGGUCCGGCAUGGAUAAUAAUCGGGCAUAAACAUAUUACCGAAGCUAUGGAUUUGUAUUUAAGAUACAUCUGGUAGGAGAGCAUUCUAUUUGCGCCGAAGCAGUACUGUGAGGUAUUGUGGAGCGGAUAGAAAAGAAAAUGUAGGCAUAAGUAACGAUAAAGCAGGCGAGAAACCUGCUCACCGAAAGACUAAGGUUUCCUCAGCCAUGCUAAUCAGCUGAGGGUUAGUCGGGACCUAACGCGAACCCGAAAGGGGUAGUGGAUGGACAAUGGGUUAAUAUUCCCAUACUUGCUCACACUAAAAAGGGGACGGAGUGCCGUACUUACUGGAGACUGACGGAAUAGUCAAGGCCUAGCCUUCGGGCGAAGCUGCUGUAGGGAAAGUGCUUCCAAGAAAAGCCGAAGUGAAGCAACCCGUACCAAAACCGACACAGGUAGUCGAGGAGAGAAUCCUAAGGUGCUAGAGUGAAUCAUGGUUAAGGAACUAGGCAAAAUAGUCUCGUAACUUCGGGAGAAGAGACGCCAUCAGCAAUGGUGGCCGCAGUAAAGAGGCCCAGGCGACUGUUUAUCAAAAACACAGGACUCUGCAAAAUCGAAAGAUGCAGUAUAGGGUGUGACGCCUGCCCGGUGCUGGAAGGUUAAGGAAGGUGCUUAGCGUAAGCGAAGGCAUUGACUGAAGCCCCAGUAAACGGCGGCCGUAACUAUAACGGUCCUAAGGU